rnacentral:lncRNA from 1 species
UUCCAGCGAUAUAAUCCGCAGACUGCCGAGAGAGGAGGGGGUGGCGCGGUGAGGCGCUCUCUUCCUGGCUGAAAAACCCAACUGAAGAGGUGCAGCCGCCACUUUAAAUAAAAACGGGGCUCCUCCAGCUCUGCGGGAAGCCUUUGGGAUGCUCUGGGUACUUGCCACCAAAGGGAAAGAGGCGACGUUCACCAGGAGAGGACGCAGCGGGGGAGUCCUAGCGUUGCGCCCCCAGCGUUACCCCCUUUUGUAUCAGGGCAGGCUGGCUUCCUCAGACCCACUUACCAUUCUGUAAAGCAAUUAUCUUCUGAUGCUGCUGCUCAGUUAAGGCUGUUAGCGCUUUCAAGUGCUUUAAAGUUAAUUCCAAGACUACUGCUUUCUCCAAAUGCCCCAGUGUCUGCAGUGGUGCGACAAAGGGGGACAGGGGUUACUUUAAAACACGCAUUUUUAUUUCCACGCAGCCCAGCAACUUAAGACAGGCACACACACACACACACACACACACACACACCACUGGGAAGGAAGCGCUGCUCAGCUCCCCACAGUCAGGUCGUCAAUGAUCUCUGCCAUUAGCCCGGAGCCCCUGUUCUGAGUCUCUGGGAAACUCUUAGUUACAGCACAAGUUAGAAGGCAGGCCUCUUAAUAUUUACAUUUAUUAUCCUAUCUCUGGGAAUUUUAUCAGGUAAAUACACCCCGGAGUCCAUCAGGAGAAUGAAAAUGUGCAUCUUACUGUCAAUUUCAGAUGUUCGGGCAGUAAAUCUUUCAGCUGAGCAAUGCAUUCAUUAAUUCGGUCUCGUCUCUUCUUUUCUAUUAAUCUGUGCGGUAACUUGUAGGUAUCCUUCAUACACGAGCCAGAGAAAAGAUACAGCAGUGAGCUAAACAUUCAUUCACUUACUGGAUAGAACCCUCCCACCCCAACCCCCAAACACACUAUGUAAUGAACUAAUGCCCAGAACUCUCUCCUCUAGACUUCUAAAAUGCAAUUUAAAUUCAGGUGCGGUGUUGAAUAUCCCCCGGAGUAUCCAGCAAGCCACUUAAAAUUCACAGUUAGGAAAGCUCAGGGCUGGAAUAUAUUUGCGGGCAGAGUUUCCUUGCGAAAUCAAUGGCCCUAAUUAACUAUCCAGGCAGGUUAUGGGAAACUUAAGACUUACCUUGGUAUCGUCUCGCUUCAAGCUCCUUUUGGGUUUACACAUAUACAAAGAGGAAUAGUCCAGUCUGCAAAAACAGAAAUCAGCAUCAGGCCCCCAUUCCGGGAGGGGCUCUGCCCUCACCCGCUCCAUAUCACUUUGUGCAGGGGAUUAAAAAAAAAAAAGCCAAACCGACGCCU